GUCUACGGUCAUGCUACCCCGAACAACCCCGAUCCUGUCUGAUCUCGGAAGCUAAGCAAGGUCGGGCCCGGUUAGUACUUGGAUGGGAGACCACCUAGGAAGACCAGGUGCUGUAGGCA
rnacentral:rRNA from 1 species